rnacentral:rRNA from 1 species
UACGUAGGUGGCAAGCGUUGUCCGGAAUUAUUGGGCGUAAAGCGCGCGCAGGCGGUUCUUUAAGUCUGAUGUGAAAGCCCACGGCUCAACCGUGGAGGGUCAUUGGAAACUGGGGAACUUGAGUACAGAAGAGGAAAGCGGAAUUCCACGUGUAGCGGUGAAAUGCGUAGAGAUGUGGAGGAACACCAGUGGCGAAGGCGGCUUUCUGGUCUGUAACUGACGCUGAGGCGCGAAAGCCAGGGGAGCAAACGGG